rfam:Oryza barthii chromosome 10, whole genome shotgun sequence.
UUUUGGUGUGAACUAAACACACCCUCAAUUUUGAUCGUCCGUCUUAUUUAAAUUUUUUUUAUAAUUAGUAUUUUUAUUGUUAUGAGAUGAUAAAACAUGAUAAUAUUUUAGGUUGACUUAUGUUUUUAAUUUUUUUUAAAAAAAUUAUAAAUAAGACGAACGAUGAAAAUUGAGCACGCAAAAAUACCACUGCACUUAAA